rnacentral:rRNA from 1 species
CUGCCGCCGGCGACCGGCGCACGGGUGAGUAACACGUAUGUAACCUGGCCGUGACAGAUGGAUAACCGGGAGAAAUCCCGCCUAAUACAACAUAAUGCCGGGAGGGGACAUCCCCUGCCGGCCAAAGGGGCGACCCCGGUCACGGAUGGGCAUGCGGCGCAUUAGGUAGUUGGUGGGGCAACGGCCCACCAAGCCGACGAUGCGUAGGGGUUCUGAGAGGAAGGUCCCCCACAUUGGAACUGAGACACGGUCCAAACUCCUACGGAAGGCAGCAG